rnacentral:lncRNA from 1 species
GAAUAAAAAAAAAAUCAUAACAACAAAGUACAACACAUCAUAACUCAAAACUUUCAUUAUUGCAUAUAGAGGAAAACAUAGACAAAUAUAUUCUACACGCAGAGAGAAAUAUAUUCUACUUUUAGACAAUUAAACUAUAGUCUAAGAAGAAUAUCACAAUCCUCUAUACUCACAUACAAAGAAUUGGCAUCACAAAAAAAUACUAACAUACAAGACAAUUAUUAAUGGCCAGAAGUGCUUGCCCAAAACCAAGGCUAGGGACACAUAUCACAAGAAUUCGAUCCAAACUUAUGAGGUGGUGCUAUGUGCUUCUCAUUGGCAUGCCCUUUUUUACUUGGUGAAGAAGAUGGCACUGUGCCCUUACGAAGUGCACUUAGAAACAAACUUUCCCUAGAAGAUGUGUUCAGCUUUUUCCUUCCCUUCUUCUCUUCUCCUACAAGAAGCAUUCUACCUUCUAAAAUUGAACAAAGUGGAGCAGAUAGAACAAUGAAUAGGAGCAACAAAGUUCCAAAAUGAGACAUAUAUGUGAGAUAACUUGAAUAAUUCACAUUGGUCAAGUUCUUGAAAUCUAUAUAUAUAAUGGUUGAAGAGAAACAUGGAU